rnacentral:rRNA from 1 species
CUGCCCUUUCGGAGGACAGGAAGCGGCGGACGGGUGAGGAACACGUGGAUAACCUAUCCCCCAGUGAGGAAUACCGGCGAGAAAUCGCCGACAAUACCGCAUAAGGUCCCUCUUGCGAGGGAGCAAAGCCGCAAGGCGCUGGGGGAGGGGUCUGCGUCCGAUUAGCUAGCUGGUGGGGUAAUGGCUCACCAGGGCGACGAUCGGUAGCUGGUCUGAGAGGAUGAUCAGCCACAUCUGGGAUUGAGAACGGCCCAGACUCCUACGGGGGGCAGCAGUGAGGAAUCUUCGGCAAUGGGGGCAACCCUGACCGAG